rnacentral:tRNA from 1 species
UCCCUGGUGGCUUAUUGGUUAGGACUUGGUGCUUUGACUACUGUGGCCCGGGUUCAAUCCCUGGUUGGGGAA